AAAACUGUUGGAGCUUGUUAAACUCCAGAGAGAACCCUAUAAAUUCUCCACAACUCGACCCUACUAACAUCCUCUCUCUCUUCAAAGAAAAAAAAAAAAAAAAACAUAUCACAACAGAACGAGAAGCGAAUUAAGGAGUGGAGUGUGUGUUUGUUGGUGAAGAAAAGUAAAGCAUGAAGAUUGUUCGCAGAGACCUAGUUCCUCACGGUCCUGGUAGCGUUAAGAUGGUACCAGUGGAUGCCGAUGAUUUAUGGUUUGUUUAUAAUCUCAUAUCCCCUGGAGAUUCUGUCAUGGCUGUCACUGUCAGGAAAGUUCUUAGACAAGCGGCUACUGGAGGAAGAGAUGCUGAACGUAUGAAAUUGAAGUUGGAAAUAAAAGUUGAGGAGGUUGCAGAUUAUGACUCAGUAGGGUCUGUUUUGCGCAUACGUGGGAAAAAUGUUCUAGAGAAUGAGCAUGUAAAGAUUGGGGCAUUCCAUACUUUAGAACUUGAGCUGCAUCGACCUUUUGUGUUACGAAAGGAUGUUUGGGACUCAUUGGCAUUAGAUGUACUUCAUCAGGCCUCUGACCCUUCUGCAAGUGCUGAUUUAGCUGUGGUUUUAAUGCAAGAAGGAUUAGCGCAUGUUUUACUUGUUGGUAAAAGUGUGACAAUUACUCGUUCACGGAUAGAAACUUCAAUUCCUCGGAAACAUGGACCUGCUAUUGCUGGUUAUGAGUCGGCUCUGAAUAAGUUCUUUGAGAAUGUGUUGCAGGCUUUCUUGAAGCAUGUUGAUUUUGAAGUUGUCCGCUGUGCUGUGAUUGCAAGUCCUGGUUUCACAAAGGAUCAGUUUCAUCGUCACUUAUUGUUGGAGGCAGAAAGAAGACAGCUGAGACCUAUUAUCGAGAACAAGUCACGGAUAGUUCUUGUGCAUACAACAUCAGGAUACAAGCAUAGUUUGAGAGAGGUUUUGGAUGCCCCUAAUGUCAUGAAUAUGAUAAAAGAUACUAAAGCAGCACAAGAGAUUCGAGCUCUCAAGGAUUUUUUCGACAUGCUUUCAAAUGUCAGGAUCCUUCUCGUGCUUGCUACGGACCAAAGCACGUUGAAGUUGCCCAUGAACGAUUGGCUAUACAAACACUUCUCCUUACAGAUGAACUUUUCAGGAAUUCUGAUGUAGCUACAAGGAAAAAAUAUGCCAAUUUGGUUGAUUCAGUGAAGGAUUCAGGGGGCACUGUUCAUAUUUUUUCAUCUUUGCAUGUCUCAGGAGAACAACUGGCGACGAUAACUGGCAUUGCAGCAAUCCUGCGCUUCCCACUGCCCGACCUUGAAGACAUAGAGAUGUGAUUGGAACAUUUUGUGGGUCAGAAAUCCGCAAUUUGUUCUGUGUCCAAUGGCACCGACAUGUUGUAUAUUACAAUUUUUUUUUUUUCUUUUGGAUUUUUGUCAUGUAAUACAACAAUAAACUGCAAUAUGUGCUUGGAGGUUCGAGGUUGUCUCUUCUUGUGGGUAGAUAGAUUGGUUAAUUAUACAUUUGGAAUUGUAUCAUAGAACAAGCAAUGCUCACUUGAUUCCCCUCUUCCAACCCUUUUAAGAUAUUAUUGUAUUGAUAGUGGCACUGGCUGUCUUUUACGGUCUGUUAGAGACUGUAACAUAGUAUUGUAUUGUAACAUAUUUCUUCUACUUCAGUGAAUAAAUAUACUUUUUAUAGUCCAA